AGAGUUUGAUCCUGGCUCAGGAUGAACGCUGGCGGCGUGCCUAACACAUGCAAGUCGAACGGUUAAACCGCCCUUCGGGGCGGACAUACAGUGGCGAACGGGUGAGUAACACGUGACCAACCUGCCCCGCACCCCGGGACAACCGCCGGAAACGGCGGCUAAUACCGGAUACUCUCCGAGGCGCGCAUGCGCCACGGAGGAAAGCUCCGACGGUGCGGGAUGGGGUCGCGGCCCAUUAGGUAGUAGGCGGGGCAACGGCCCACCUAGCCUGCGAUGGGUAGCCGGCCUGAGAUGGCGAUCGGCCACAUUGGGACUGAGAUACGGCCCAGACUCCUACGGGAGGCAGCAGUGGGGAAUAUUGCGCAAUGGGGGAAACCCUGACGCAGCAACGCCGCGUGCGGGAUGACGGCCUUCGGGUUGUAAACCGCUUUCAGCAGGGAAGAACAUCGACGGUACCUGCAGAAGAAGCCCCGGCUAACUACGUG
rnacentral:rRNA from 1 species